rnacentral:rRNA from 1 species
ACGAACGCUGGCGGCGUGCCUAAUACAUGCAAGUAGAACGCUGAAGGAGGAGCUUGCUCUUCUGGAUGAGUUGCGAACGGGUGAGUAACGCGUAGGUAACCUGCCUGGUAGCGGGGGAUAACUAUUGGAAACGAUAGCUAAUACCGCAUAAGAGUAGAUGUUGCACGACAUUUACUUAAAAGGUGCAAUUGCAUCACUACCAGAUGGACCUGCGUUGUAUUAGCUAGUUGGUGGGGUAACGGCUUACCAAGGCGACGAUACAUAGCCGACCUGAGAGGGUGAUCGGCCACACUGGGACUGAGACACGGCCCAGACUCCUACGGGAGGCAGCAGUAGGGAAUCUUCGGCAAUGGACGGAAGUCUGACCGAGCAACGCCGCGUGAGUGAAGAAGGUUUUCGGAUCGUAAAGCUCUGUUGUAAGAGAAGAACGAGUGUGAGAGUGGAAAGUUCACACUGUGACGGUAUCUUACCAGAAAGGGACGGCUAACUACGUG